CCAGGUUAAUAUUCCUGUACUUGGUGUUACUGCGAAGGGGGGACGGAGAAGGCUAUGUUAGCCGGGCGACGGUUGUCCCGGUUUAAGCAUGUAGGCGGAGGUUCCAGGUAAAUCCGGUACCUUAUUAACGCUGAGGUGUGAUGACGAGGCACUACGGUGCUGAAGUAACAAAUGCCCUGCUUCCAGGAAAAGCCUCUAAGCAUCAGGUAACAUCAAAUCGUACCCCAAACCGACACAGGUGGUCAGGU
rnacentral:rRNA from 1 species